rnacentral:rRNA from 1 species
CGCGUAGGCGGUUUGUUAAGUCGGAUGUGAAAGCCCUGGGCUCAACCUGGGAACUGCAUUCGAUACUGAUCGACUAGAGUACGAGAGAGGGAGGUAGAAUUCCACGUGUAGCGGUGAAAUGCGUAGAUAUGUGGAGGAAUACCGGUGGCGAAGGCGGCCUCCUGGCUCGAUACUGACGCUGAGGUGCGAAAGCGUGGGUAGCAAACAGGAUUAGAUACCCUGGUAGUCC